rnacentral:rRNA from 1 species
UACGAAGGGGGCGAGCGUUAAUCGGAAUUACUGGGCGUAAAGCGUGCGCAGGCGGUUCGUUGUGUCGGCGGUGAAAGCCCCGGGCUUAACCUGGGAAUGGCCGUCGAAACUGGCGAACUGGAGUGUGGCAGAGGGGGGUGGAAUUCCGCGUGUAGCAGUGAAAUGCGUAGAGAUGCGGAGGAACACCGAUGGCGAAGGCAGCCCCCUGGGCUGACACUGACGCUCAGGCACGAAAGCGUGGGGAGCAAACAGG